AACGAACGCUGGCGGCGUGCUUAACACAUGCAAGUCGAACGAGAAAGCCCUUCGGGGUGAGUAGAGUGGCGCACGGGUGAGUAAUGCAUAGGAACGUACCUAUAAGAGGGGGAUAACCAAGGGAAACUUUGGCUAAUACCGCAUAUAAUCGCAAGAUGAAAGGUGGCCUCUACUUGUAAGCUACCACUUAUAGAUCGGCCUAUGUCCCAUUAGCUUGUUGGUAAGGUAACGGCUUACCAAGGCUACGAUGGGUAGCUGGUCUGAGAGGAUGAUCAGCCACACUGGGACUGAGACACGGCCCAG
rnacentral:rRNA from 1 species